AUUGAACGCUGGCGGCAGGCCUAACACAUGCAAGUCGAGCGAGCGGCGGACGGGUGAGUAAUGUAUGGGGACUGCCCGAUGGAGGGGGAUAACUACUGGAAACGGUGGCUAAUACCGCAUACUAUCGGAUAACCCAUAUGGGAUUAGCUAGUAGGUGGGGUAAAGGCUCACCAAGGCGACGCUCCCUAGCUGGUCUGAGAGGAUGAUCAGCCACACUGGGACUGAGACACGGUCCAGACGCCUACGGAGGCAGCAGUGGGGAAUCUUCGACAAUGGACGAAAGCCUGACGCAGCAACGCCGCGUGAAUGAAGAAGGUCUUCGGGUUGUAAAGCUCUGUUGUUGGGGAAGCGGUAUCUAACCAAAAAGCAACGGCUAACUACGUGCCAGCAGCCGCGGUAAUAC
rnacentral:rRNA from 1 species